AUUGAACGCUGGCGGCAGGCCUAACACAUGCAAGUCGAGCGAGCGGCGGACGGGUGAGUAAUGUAUGGGGACUGCCCGAUCGAGGGGGAUAACUACUGGAAACGGUGGCUAAUACCGCAUACUAUCGGAUAACCCAUAUGGGAUUAGCUAGUAGGUGGGGUAAAGGCUCACCUAGGCGACAAUCUCUAGCUGGUCUGAGAGGAUGAUAAGCCACAGGGGGACUGAGACACGGCACAGACUCGUACGGAGGCAGCAGUGGGGAAGAUUGCACAAUGGGCGCAAGCCGGAUGCAGCCAUGCCGCGUGUAUGAAGAAGGACUUAGGGUUGUAAAGGACUUUCAGCGGGGAGGCGUUACCCGCAGAAGAAGAACCGGCUAACUCCGUGCCAGCAGCCGCGGUAAUUC
rnacentral:rRNA from 1 species